UAGAGUUUGAUCCUGGCUCAGAUUGAACGCUGGCGGCAGGCCUAACACAUGCAAGUCGAACGGUAACAUUUCUAGCUUGCUAGAAGAUGACGAGUGGCGGACGGGUGAGUAAUGCUUGGGAACUUGCCUUUGCGAGGGGGAUAACAGUUGGAAACGACUGCUAAUACCGCAUAAUGUCUUCGGACCAAACGGGGCUUCGGCUCCGGCGCAAAGAGAGGCCCAAGUGAGAUUAGCUAGUUGGUAAGGUAACGGCUUACCAAGGCGACGAUCUCUAGCUGUUCUGAGAGGAAGAUCAGCCACACUGGGACUGAGACACGGCCCAGACUCCUACGGGAGGCAGCAGUGGGGAAUAUUGCACAAUGGGGGAAACCCUGAUGCAGCCAUGCCGCGUGUGUGAAGAAGGCCUUCGGGUUGUAAAGCACUUUCAGUUGUGAGGAAAAGUUAGUAGUUAAUACCUGCUAGCCGUGACGUUAACAACAGAAGAAGCACCGGCUAACUCCGUGCCAGCAGCCGCGGUAAUACGGAGGGUGCGAGCGUUAAUCGGAAUUACUGGGCGUAAAGCGCACGCAGGCGGUUUGUUAAGCUAGAUGUGAAAGCCCCGGGCUCAACCCGGGAUGGUCAUUUAGAACUGGCAGACUAGAGUCUUGGAGAGGGGAGUGGAAUUCCAGGUGUAGCGGUGAAAUGCGUAGAUAUCUGGAGGAACAUCAGUGGCGAAGGCGACUCCCUGGCCAAAGACUGACGCUCAUGUGCGAAAGUGUGGGUAGCGAACAGGAUUAGAUACCCUGGUAGUCCACACCGUAAACGCUGUCUACUAGCUGUGUGUGCCUUUAAGGCGUGCGUAGCGAAGCUAACGCGCUAAGUAGACCGCCUGGGGAGUACGGCCGCAAGGUUAAAACUCAAAUGAAUUGACGGGGGCCCGCACAAGCGGUGGAGCAUGUGGUUUAAUUCGAUGCAACGCGAAGAACCUUACCUACACUUGACAUGCUGAGAAGUUACUAGAGAUAGUUUCGUGCCUUCGGGAACUCAGACACAGGUGCUGCAUGGCUGUCGUCAGCUCGUGUCAUGAGAUGUUCGGUUAAGUCCGGCAACGAGCGCAACCCACAUCCUUAGUUGCCAGCAGUUCGGCUGGGCACUCUAGGGAAACUGCCCGUGAUAAGCGGGAGGAAGGUGUGGAUGACGUCAAGUCCUCAUGGCCCUUACGGGUUGGGCUACACACGUGCUACAAUGGCAGUGACAAUGGGUUAAUCCCAAAAAACUGUCUCAGUUCGGAUUGUCGUCUGCAACUCGGCGGCAUGAAGUCGGAAUCGCUAGUAAUCGCGUAACAGCAUGACGCGGUGAAUACGUUCCCGGGCCUUGUACACACCGCCCGUCACACCAUGGGAGUUGGGUUUACCCGAAGGCCGUGCGCCAACCUUUUGGAGGCAGCGGACCACGGUGAGCUCAGCGACUGGGGUGAAGUCGUAACAAGGUAACCA
rnacentral:rRNA from 1 species